AUUAAUUUGAGAGUUUGAUCCUGGCUCAGGACGAACGCUGGCGGCGUGCCUAAUACAUGCAAGUCGAACGAACUCUGGUAUUGAUUGGUGCUUGCAUCAUGAUUUACAUUUGAGUGAGUGGCGAACUGGUGAGUAACACGUGGGAAACCUGCCCAGAAGCGGGGGAUAACACCUGGAAACAGAUGCUAAUACCGCAUAACAACUUGGACCGCAUGGUCCGAGCUUGAAAGAUGGCUUCGGCUAUCACUUUUGGAUGGUCCCGCGGCGUAUUAGCUAGAUGGUGGGGUAACGGCUCACCAUGGCAAUGAUACGUAGCCGACCUGAGAGGGUAAUCGGCCACAUUGGGACUGAGACACGGCCCAAACUCCUACGGGAGGCAGCAGUAGGGAAUCUUCCACAAUGGACGAAAGUCUGAUGGAGCAACGCCGCGUGAGUGAAGAAGGGUUUCGGCUCGUAAAACUCUGUUGUUAAAGAAGAACAUAUCUGAGAGUAACUGUUCAGGUAUUGACGGUAUUUAACCAGAAAGCCACGGCUAACUACGUGCCAGCAGCCGCGGUAAUACGUAGGUGGCAAGCGUUGUCCGGAUUUAUUGGGCGUAAAGCGAGCGCAGGCGGUUUUUUAAGUCUGAUGUGAAAGCCUUCGGCUCAACCGAAGAAGUGCAUCGGAAACUGGGAAACUUGAGUGCAGAAGAGGACAGUGGAACUCCAUGUGUAGCGGUGAAAUGCGUAGAUAUAUGGAAGAACACCAGUGGCGAAGGCGGCUGUCUGGUCUGUAACUGACGCUGAGGCUCGAAAGUAUGGGUAGCAAACAGGAUUCUGCAACUCGCCUACAUGAAGUCGGAAUCGCUAGUAAUCGCGGAUCAGCAUGCCGCGGUGAAUACGUUCCCGGGCCUUGUACACACCGCCCGUCACACCAUGAGAGUUUGUAACACCCAAAGUCGGUGGGGUAACCUUUUAGGAACCAGCCGCCUAAGGUGGGACAGAUGAUUAGGGUGAAGUCGUAACAAGGUAGCCGUAGGAGAA
rnacentral:rRNA from 2 species